AUCUCAUCAGAAAUAAAAAUAAAAAUACCCAGAUCCUCGUCCUACCCCUUCCUCAGGUGCCAAGGCUGCUUAGAAACUGACUGCCAGGUUGGAAACCUGCAUACGUUUCUGGAGAAGACAAGGGAUGCAACUGAUUUGCAAAAACCCAGGUGCACUGCAGCAAAACAAACCAAACAUCCUUCUCAUUUCUGAGUUCCCUGAACCACAGAGCAGCAUGCCUUUCACUUAGGAGAGGCUUAAUAAAGGUUAAAUGAAUUGAA